rnacentral:lncRNA from 1 species
GAAAGAAGGUAAUUCCCUCUGCAGCCCCCCGACAAGUGACCUUGCUCUUUUCUCCUUGGCCAGUGGGAAGCAAACUCAGGAGCUCUGGCCUUAGGAGAUGGGAGGAAGACUAAAGCAGCAGUUCUCAAAGUGUGAUCCGGGAGACCCUGCAGAUCCCAAGAUCCUUUCUAGAGUUUCGGUGGGAGAACUAGUUUUAGAAUUAUAGACGUCAUUUGCCUUUUAAACUCACAAUGGAAUUUUCCAGAGGCGACCUGAUGUCUAAUGAUGACACUGCUCUUAUGACCAAAGGAAUGUGAGCUCGUAUAUUCUUUUAGAAUUUCCUAAGUGAAUCCAGGAAAAUAGAGGAUGCUUCAAAGAAGGAAACGCGAGAGUACCCUGCACCCAAACAGCCUCUGGCCUGAGGAACAAGGAACAGACCAAUGUUCUGGCCCUGGUGCAAGUGAAUGUUUGGCAUAGUCUGCUGGCAACAACAGAAGUUAUUACCUGAAAACUCAUUCUGAAGGUGGAGGAUGUUGGGGAAAUCUAAAGAUGAAAGAAUUCAUCACUAAAACUGUACUACGAGAAAUGCUAAAGGAAGUUGUUCAAACUGAUGGAAAAUUAUACCAGAUGGACACUUGAAUUUGCCCAAAGGAAUGAAGAGCACCAGAAAUGGCAAAUGUGUGGGGCUUCAUUUACCAUCAUUAUCCUGGGGCUUUUGGAAUGCCUGAUCCACAGGCCUGGAUUCUCACACAAGAUGGCAUCUGAGGAGACCUGCUUCAUCAUGAAGGAGGUGUGGGAGCAGGUCCUGACCAGUAGGAUUCAUCGUUCAUAUCAUAUACCACAGCAUUCACAAGUAGCCAUCCUAACAGAGCAUCUGAAUGAUCUGCUGAAGGUGUAAUUGAAGUGCCAACUUGGAGACAAGACUCUGCAAGCAUGGGGUACCAUCUUCCAGGAUGAAAUAUAGGCACUGUAUUCAUGUUCUAUUGCUAGGUAACAAAUUAACACAAAUUUAGUGGCAUAAACAACACAUGUUUAUUACCUUACAGUUUCUGUGGGUCAAGAGUCUGGGCAUAGCUUAGCCGAGUCCUCUGUUCAGGGUCUCCAAGGCUGGAAUCGAUGUGUCAGCUGGGGCUGGGGUCUCUCUUCUAAGUUCACUUGGUUGUUGGCAGAAUUCAUUUUCUUGCAGUUGUAUAACUUCUUUUUUCUUCAAGGCCAGCAAGAGAAUU